rnacentral:rRNA from 1 species
GACGAACGCUGGCGGCGUGCUUAACACAUGCAAGUCGAACGAAGUGGCGAACGGGUGAGUAACGCGUAAUCAACCUGCCCUUCAGAGGGGGACAACAGUUGGAAACGACUGCUAAUACCGCAUACUGAAGGGGGGGAUUGCGUCUGAUUGGCUAGUUGGUGGGGUAACGGCCCACCAAGGCGAUGAUAAGUCGCCGGGCUGAGGGGGUGGACCGCCACAAUGGGACUUAGACAAGGGCCAUAAUCCUACGGGAGGGAGCAGUGGGGAAUCAUCCGCAAUGGACGAAAGUCUGACGGAGCAACGCCGCGGGAGUGAAGACGGCCUUCGGGGUGUAAAACUCUGUUAAGCGGGACGCGGUACCGGAAUAGAAAGCCACGGCUAACUACGUGCCAGCAGCCGCGGUAAUUC